rnacentral:lncRNA from 1 species
AAAUACCCUUGCAAGAUGUAGAAAAAAAUUGAGGUUGUGUUUCUGCUCUUUUUCCAAUAGUGCUCUUUAUAAAAUUGAAUUUUGAUUGGAAGGUGUGUCUUAACUAACAAUUACAAUGAAUAAUAAAUUGUUUGGCUAUUGAAAAUUACAGAUGAUAAAAUGAAAUAUUAUGUGAAAUCUUAUGAAGAGAAUGAUAAGUCAAAUGCAGAAAUUAUAAUGAUAAAUUUUCAAUUUUAUUUUGAAAUACUGUGUAAAAUUUCAGCAUAAGCAAAUUUCAAGCUCACGUUUUGUUUAAAUCAAAAUCUUAUCUAAUUUAUAUAGUUUUAUAUGCACAUGUACACUAAAUGAGUUAAGAUUUAUAUCCAUUUCCCACAUGUAGGGGUCAAAAUUAGUCAUUAUUGAGCAAUCAUUAUACAAUGUUUGCCUUGCCAUGUGAAUUCUACAUAAAGAAUCUUUGCAAAAAGGUAAACACUUUUAGAUUGUUUAGCAGAUCAAUUGAAAUAAUUUUAUCAUGAAUCUCAAAAUAUAAGCUACUACAUCAUAUACAUAUACACUAGAUUUGAAAAUACCAUUGAAAUGUCAUUGUCUGAUACAAGGUUACUGAAAUAGGUUGAUUAUAAUGUUAAUUACAUGUACUGUAAAAUCAGAAAUUAUUGCGAGGUUUUUAUUAUUGCAAAAAAUGCAACAGAGUUGUAAACGCAUUUUGAAAUAUUCUGUAUGAAUUCACAUGAUUUUUCACAAAAUCUUGAAAAUUUAAAUCGCAUUUAAGUCUAAAAUGACAAAAUGGCAAUAAUGAAUUACCGCAAUAAUUUCUGAAUUUACAGUACUUGUUAUGAUGUAGAAUAUUAACAAUGUAUACACUUUUGGUUGAAAGCUUUAUAGUAGAUUGAAUUGUUGAUAAUGAAUCUCUUAGGUCUUGUCUGUGACAGUCUUUGAAGCAAUACUAAAGACUGCUCUUACCUCAGGUUGUGUAGUCAACAAUUUUUAAACUUACUGUUUUUUAUCUGAGAUUAACCAUCAUUUGCUAUACAGUUGUAUAAGUUAUUGGCAUAUAUCGUAACCUCUUAGUGAUGUAAAAGUUUAUGAUAGGGAUCAAUCUAUUUUUAUACCUACUGCAUGAUAUACUGUGGAUUCAUUAUUAUUCGUUGGAUACCAAUUUUCGUGGAUUUCAUGGUAACCUUGUAAACGUGAGUUUCAAUGUCCAACGAAUUACAAAUUCUAUAUAUAAAAGUAUGCAGACUUUGGCAAAGCCUUGAAAUCAAAUACCCACGAAAAUGAAAAUUUUCAUCAAUCAACGACAACGAAAAUUGGUACCCACGAAAAUAAAUGAAUCUACAGUACAUGUUUAUUGUUUCCAGCACAUGAAUAACUAAGACCCUUUUCAUCAGGAGAUACAUUGUUUCAUGCAUUAUCUGAAAUGUACAGGUGUUCAUACAUGUACUUUGUUGCCAAUUGAAUUUGAACAUUUGUAGUAUCAAAAUUAAUCACGUGCAAGACAUACUCUGUAUGAACAGUUUAUGUAUAUGUAUAAUCAAAGAAGAUGUGAUAAUCUGAAAACAUGUAUCUGGUGAUGUAAUAUUUUGUUUAUAUUAAACAUGGAUAUCUAUAAUAUCACUGAUUUGUAUUUGUAAAAAGUCCAGAUUUACAAUUUCAAGCAUCAAUUCAACUUCUGAAUUUCAUUUAUUUGUUAAUUUCCUUUUCAACCUGCUUAAUGAUAUGUAUUAUUUGUCGGAGCUCCUUUUACUUUUGUACUCAUAAAUGGGAUCUGACAUUUUUUAUGCCCCAGCCAUAGUGAAUGGGACAUUCAGUUUCACCCUUGUUUGUAUGUACAUACAUACAUCCCAAUGUUGGUUUCCAUUCUCUGACUUUAGAUUGCCUCAACCAAAUGUUAUGAAUCUUAUAUGCAAUGUUUAUUACCACUAAAUACAGAUCAAUUGUGAAUUUUGGUGUGUCACUUUUACUAUUCUAUUCUAGAGUUAU